rnacentral:siRNA from 1 species
AGUGUAGACAUGGUUGGAGUUGCA